UGUCAGAGUGCUGGUUCCAACUGUCAGUGUGCUGGUUCCAACUGUCAGUGUGCCACAAUGCCUGUCAAUAUGUGAUUUUUUUCCUAUUCUGGAUCUGGUUGAGAGUGGUUCCCCUAUCCAGCUAGGACCCCCACAAAAGGGUACCACAUAGCAUGAUAAGUUUGGAGUGUCACGACAUGAGGGAAGUAGAAAGAAGACGUUGCAGAGCUGGAGGCUGUAUUGGACUCCUUCGAAUUAAGAAUUGGUGGAAAAUAAAACUCAUCCCACUGCUUGGGUGAGAGACAGAUGGUUUCCUGCCUGCUUCAUUCGGAAAAGAGGUCUCAUCCCACGCAGACAAAUUUCCUGAAAGAAACACAUCACAGAAUUUUGAAAGAGUGGUGUCUGCUAGAUGGCGGAUCAGGAGACCCUGAGCUUAUGUACCCUCCAAGGUACAGCUCAGAAGCUAUCCAUGAACAUAGAAACUAGAGGAGAGAUUGUAGGUUAGUGAAAGAGCCACACCAGGAUAUUAGAAGAAGCAUCUCAAGAAUAACUUCGACAGAAGAAAAGAAAGAGCAACUUUAAGUUCCUGGUAUGUUUCUAUGACCCAUGUUCCAGAGAAGACGCUCCUGGCUUCAGUCACCCCUGGGCCUCGCAGGGGACAGUGGACCCAUCAUGGGCUUCCCCAGAUGCCAGGGCCAGGCUGGAUAAACAGAUUUAGUUUCAUUUCCCUUUGGUAGAGUGGUGGAACUAGCAUGGUAUAAUCAAUGCAGAAUUAGGAAGACAGAGGGUGAGGUAGAGAGAAAAAGAGAAAGUAAGGAUACAUAAAUUAAUUGCUUUAAUAACAAUCUGGUAACUCUUUUGAGAGUGAGUUACUACAAUUUCAAGUUUUGGAAGUAAAAAUGCAUAAGAUGCAUUUUUAAAAAUUUAUGUUUUACUUUGUCAAACAUACGUGAAUUAAAGGUAAAACAGAUUUUGUAAGGAUAUUAUAAAACCCAUGUAGUGCUUUCUACUCUUCUGAAGCCAGUGUUUUCUUUCCUGGCAAUUGAUUGCACAUGUAUCUUUUAUUAGCAUGCUUACCUUGCUGUUUUUGGUUUGGGUUUGGGUUUUUUGGUUUGGGUUAAUAUUCUUAGCCACUUUUUAUUUUUAUUUAUUUUUGCAUCUUUUUAUACAAAUCUUAUUCUACACUCUCCCAGUUUAAAAGUAGUACAUUUUGUUUUGAUUAUUAGGGUCAGCUUGGGACUAGAAAAGACAAAACAGAAUAAUAAUGCAUUUACAAAACAAGAUGACAGCUGAAUGGCAACCUCCAGAAUAAUGAAAUCCAGCCUGUAAUCUUCCCUAUACACAAAAUCAUAUAAAAUUGUAUAAAGAAGUUAUAAGGCCAGAAGCCAUCCAAAUCUCAAAAGAAAACAGAGGAGGAAAAGUCCUUCACACUGACCUUUAAAGUGAUUGUAUAGGUAUGAAACAAGAAACACAACCAAUGAAAGAGAUCAAAUAAACAAUUCGGGCCUUAUCAAACUAAAAAUUCUUUACUUUUUAUAUUAUUUUUCUAUAAAAUUAAAGAAAAUAUUUACAAGUACUAUUCCACGUUACACAAAUAUUCAAAAUACUAAAGUAAAUCACAUGAAUCAACAAGAAAGUAAGAAUUAUAACUCGUCUCUGAGUAAAAACUUAAAAAGGGAUCAGCACAAAGACUCUCGACCCACUCUCCAGUUCCACAAAAAUAAGUAUGUCAAACUCAGAAUAAAGGAAUAGAAAAUUUCUUCCUCUGAAAGAUAAAGUUAUGUGUUUCAUAGUGACUGCACUGAUUUAAAAACUAAUUCUAGGUGCUUCCAAUAAUUCUGAAAAAAAUUCAUGCAUCUUGAUAUGAAAAAUAACUGUAUGUCUAUGUGAAUCCAAAAGUAUAAAGGCAGAGAAAAAUAAGUAACAAUACACAAUUAAUAACUCUAAACAUAUUAAUAUAUAUGUACCUUGAAAUAUUCGUGUGUGAUAUCAAUCAUGCUUUAAGUAUUUGCUGUUAAAUUUUAAAUUUUAGAAACUUGCUCAGUGAUCUAGUGACAUGCUUAUCAUACUUAAGGCCCUGUUUUCAAUCUCCAACACCACUAAAAUAAAAUGAAUUUUAACUCUUUGAAAUUUCUUUUACCAAGCUAGGCAAGAACGAUCUUGGCUCUUUCAUUGUAAAAAAUGAGUGGUCAUGUGACUGAGAUGUAUUUAGGCAUUUGCUUUGUUUCCUCUCCCUCUAGUAUCACAUAUAUACUCAGGGCUAUUCUCUAUGACUGCUUUAUUAGUAGGAUAACCUGUGCUAUAAUUAAUUUAAAAAUUAUUUGGAAAUAUUUGAUAGUAAAAAAGUGGUAACUUCUGCUCAUCCAGCCAUACAUUUUUAUCCAUAAUUUAGUUCUUUCUAAAGAGCUAACUAAACCCACUCAAUUAUCGCCAGAAUUUUCUCUUUUGUUUGUAACGCAGCCAAGAAACAAUGUUUAACUGUACUGGAAUGUAUCUUAUUUUAUAACUUAAUGAAUUAGGUAUCUAUUAAUUUUCCUUUGCUAUUUAGAUUAGACCCUGAACACUGCUUCAUUCUUUGAAAAACGUGUAAAUCUGACAUCAUUUGGGUUCAAUCUUCAAUUAUUUCAUUAUAAUAGAGCUGUUUUGCCAUAGACCUGUCUUACAUAAUGUGAAUAAUAUGAACAUGAUCUAAGACAUUUUUUUUGUGUGUCAGUUAGGCUUAAGGUCUGACAAAAUUGGUCAGUGAGUUUACAUUUUUUAAAAAAUAUAAAGCCACAAGAGAAAAUGCUAUUUGAAGCUAGUUUUAGUCACAAAGCCUGGGAAAUCUGAGAAAGAAUUUAUUAUAGAUUUACUGAAAUAUUUCGUGUAAAAUAUUCUACCCAAGGGAGAACACAAAAAUAUCAUAGUUUUUCCUUAAUUAUUUGGCAGGUGUAUGCUAUUUUAUUUUCUCAGUGGAAUUAAUUGUGCCAAUUAAUGAGACUAUGCAUAGGAAACUUUCAUCUAUAGGAAAAUUCUAUUCUUCUAAGGCUUUUAAGCCUCUGUAUUUCCUUUUAAAACUAGUAAAUACAAUCUCAUUUCAAUAAGUCAUCAGAAUCUUACUGCUACCAGUUCUCCCUUCUAAAUUAGUAGGUAACUUUCAGACAAGACUAUAUCAUUAAUUAUUAACCCAUUAAUUUUUAAUCCAUUCAUUGAAAUUUCAUUGUAUUUAAGAAAUAUUUGAGUUCUAAGAAAUUCUUACAAAAUGAUAGCAAACAAAUGAAGCUUGGAAUCAAUAAGGUAUGUACUCCAGGAUUUUGUUCAUCAUCUUUGCUCAUAUAUAAAUAAAAUUGUGACUCAUAACCUAGGGUUAGAUAACCCAGAAUUUCUUCUAAUAGGGAGAACAUGACAUAGGAUAAAUAUUUUUAUAUUAAAGGUACUGAUAGAUUUCCUUUUGUAUGACCCCAUGAUAAAACAGCACACAUAUGCAUGCAUGCACAUAUAUACACAAAACGUUUGUAACAUGAAGAAUAUUGUUACCAUAACUAGUCAGCUUAUAUUUUGAAUUCCAUAUUAGGUUCAAUUUAAUAUAGACACUUGUACUAAACAGACCAAAAUAAAUUACAAUUGUGAAAGAUAGGUUUUAACACUCAAUGUAACUCCAGAGAGUUUACUACUAAAAUUUUACCCAUGCAAAUAUCAGUUGGUCAAUGACCUUUUCCCCAGCAAACAUGAAUGCUUGGCUUUCCUAGAUAGAAAGAUUUGACUAUGUGGUUUUCAUAAUUUUUGUUACUUUGUCAUAUAAUAUUGGUUUAAAUUAGUACAGGGAGGGUUAUGGUCAAACUAAAAUAUAGGCCAAAGAAAAUAUAUUAAAAAUAGAAACUAUUUUAUAGCUAACUUCAAUAUGAUUAUUUUGAAAACUAAAUAAUGAGCUCAAGUCAGCAAGUGUUUUGAAUAAUUUUAACCAAAAAUCUUUCAAAAUAUAAAAGAAUGCAUAUGUGUGUGUGUGUGUGUGUGUGUGUGUGUGUGUAUAAGCUUUGAGGGAAGUAAUUUCUUUUGACUAAUUUUUUGCUCUAGUUCCAACAAGUAUAUAUAUAUAUAUAUAUUUCACAAGAAUGGAAUCAUGUAUUUCACUUAAAAUGUAUUUAAAAAUAACUAAUCAUUCAUAUUAACUUAAUAUUUAUGAAUAUAGUUAAUAACAAUUUUUAUUCUUAUAUAUCAUAUUUACUAUAUUAAUCUACUUUUAAUCUGGGAAAAUCCAAAAACUGUGAGCUUCUAUUAUUUUUUAUAUUUAUACAUUUUAAUGUUUAUCUUGCCUUAAUAUUCAUCUUUUCUCAGAACUAUGAGAUGUCAAAAUAAAAAAGUAUUUGAAAAAAAGUUUAUAUCCAGAUAAAGUCAUAUGAUUAUAUUUCUAUAAGUGAUAAUAUCUCAAGUGUUUUUCAAGCUAUAAGGACAAUUUUGGUUUUCUAGUUUGUAUAUCAUCAAAACUAAAAUACGGGGGCUG